rnacentral:rRNA from 1 species
GAUGAACGCUGGCGGCGUGCCUAAUACAUGCAAGUCGAGCGAACAGACGAGGAGCUUGCUCCUCUGACGUUAGCGGCGGACGGGUGAGUAGCACGUGGAUAACCUACCUAUAAGACUGGGAUAACUUCGGGAAACCGGAGCUAAUACCGGAUAACAUGUUGAACCGCAUGGUUCAACAGUGAAAGACGGUCUUGCUGUCACUUAUAGAUGGAUCCGCGCCGCAUUAGCUAGUUGGUAAGGUAACGGCUUACCAAGGCAACGAUGCGUAGCCGACCUGAGAGGGUGAUCGGCCACACUGGAACUGAGACACGGUCCAGACUCCUACGGGAGGCAGCAGUAGGGAAUCUUCCGCAAUGGGCGAAAGCCUGACGGAGCAACGCCGCGUGAGUGAAGAAGGUCUUCGGAUCGUAAAACUCUGUUAUUAGGGAAGAACAAAUGUGUAAGUAACUAUGCACGUCUUGACGGUACCUAAUCAGAAAGCCACGGCUAACUACGUG